ACAGUCUGAGGUCAGGUCGGAACAUUAGACUGUGGGACAGCAGGGCUGUGGCUAGGCCUUGGCAAGGUUGCCUUGCAGCAGAGCCAUCAUCCCCGGUGUAGGUUAGACCUGGUCACAGCUUCCCCACAGCAUAGUCCAGAGCUCCUCUCUUUUUUCCAUGGAACAUGGCCCAGUGUUGGCCCUCCUGGGAGAGGGGGCCUGGCAGGAAUAAGGAACCAGGUUUUGUCAUGUGUCUGUAUAACUAGGGAAAAAUUUUUCUUCAGAACAAGAGGACUGCUCAGCCAUGGGGUCAUUCAGCAUCACUCGACCAUGAAUGUCCUGCAACAGGAAGAAACUACUGUCAACAGAUAUCCAUCAGAACACUGCUCAGGCACUGAAUGAAAAUGGUCCAUGCAAAUGUUUUACAGCUGCUCCUAAAAGUACAUUUAACAGAGCUGAAGACAUUAUCUCAGCAUCAGGUCAUUUCCCUCACAUUCUAACCCCGGAGAGAAGAAAGGCAUAAAAACCUGACGAGUAUGAUUUUGCCAAGGGCAG
rnacentral:lncRNA from 1 species